UCAGGCCUGUGGGUGUAACUUUUUAUGGAAGUCUUUUUUGUUUGUCUCUUAAUAAGGUUGUAUGAAGAAAGGCCUUGGGGGUUGGCAGUCUAUUUAGAUAUGGCUGCACAGCUUUCACCACAAAUAGUAACAGGAUAUUUUUUCUAGACUAGUAGGCUGUUGAAUAUUGCAGGGAGAGAAGCAGGGUAGGAGAAGUAUAACUAAGAGUGUCUUGCAAUGUAUUUUGUUGUUAAACUUUUCAAAAAGAUGAAAUCAUCUAGUAAAAUUAUCUAGGCAAAUUGUAUCCCCGAAUGCUUGUAAAGAACUAAAUAACAGCAAACAGAAGUACAGGGAAUGGAGAAGAGAAAUUGUUUUAUGAUAGAUGAUGAGACAGAGAAAUGCAGGAAUGCUGUUGCAGAGUUGCUGAGGAGACGAUUCUUGCUCUAACAUUGGUAAGGUUGUAAUGCCAGACAAAGGGUAUAAGAAAGGGUGCAGCAAGAUUAGGUUAAUGAUAUGUGCUGGGUUUAAUACGUACCUAGGGCGUUAUCCUGCAUGGGAUGGGGACAAGAUCAGGGAGUGUGCACAGCCAUUUGCCUGAUUGAGCCAUAAUCCUUCUCUCGCUUACGCCAUUGUAAACUGGAUAUUGUUCCCUUCAAUCAGUGGAGUUGCCCAGAUGUAAGAGGGAAGUUGGGCUCAGCAUUUUAAUAACAGGAGUGUAACUUUGAACUAUGCUGAAAUGAAUGAGAGGCCAGGAGUUGAUUUGAAGAUUGGGAUGGUAGGUGCAUUUUGCAUAUGGUGUGGAGAGCAAGGACCUUAGGGAGACUAGAUGCUUUCAUAGCACAAAUAAUAUUAUGCACAGGAAUAUCUUUAGUCACUUAGCAUGGUGACAGGUUUCAGAAGGGUAGCCAUGUUAGUCUGUGUCAGUAAAAACUACGAGGAGUUCUUGUGGCAGCUUAGAGACUAACACAUUUAUUUGGGCAUAAGCUUUCAUGGGCUAUAGCCCACUUCAUCAGAUAUGAAGUGGGUUAUAGCUCAUGAAAGCUUAUUUUUACUCGCCUAGGUAAUCUCAUUGACUUGCUUAGUAUAGGCACAGCUGUACUUACUCUUUGGAUUUUGGAAGAGGAACAAAAACAAUUCACCUGAAACUUGUUACUCAAUAAAGACAUAUCUUUUUGAUAUAGAUUUGAGCAGAGUGAAAGGAACAUAGUCAUGCAGCACACUCCUGACACUGAAAUUUGUGAUGUCCGUGGAUCGGUAGGCUGAAUAAACAAUGGUGGACACACCAGGAAAUUGCCUUCUCCUUCAUUCCUGCUGAAAGGAGACUGAGACGCACUGAGAGAAACGACGUAAUCAAAAAAGCUUUGAAUCAGGAAUUUGUCGCACAAGAAAGCAGAGCCCUCCCAUUGAACUAGAAGAGGCUACCAUUUUAAAAGUCCUCCUGUCCCUGUCUCUAGCUUUUUCUUGUUACAUAGAAGCUCGCUAGCCUCUGUGCAUUGGGUCAAUGGGUCUGGUGUGGCCCAUCUGAUCUACCUGCCAGGGUGAGUCAGCAGAACAGCUCUUCAUCUUCCCACAUACUCCUAAAGCCUGCCAUCCAGUCCCAUCACUAUUGAAAUUCAGCCUUCACCAUCAGUUAAUGUAGUUCUUCAUAAAAUUGCCUCUGCAUAGCCCAAUUGAAUGGAGUCACUUGCUGUGUUUCAGUGUUCCACUCAGGAAAGAUCUGCAGAAACAACUUAUUUGUAGAACUCUAGCAUUGUCGAAACAUGAGACUGUGAGCCAGGACAACUGGAAGCAGUGGACAUGGUGAAUAAGGAGGAUUUUCCUGAAUGUAUCUUUAACUAUUCAGAAGACUUAUGUGAGCAUGUGAACGUGGCUAGCAGAAGAGAAGUAGCUCUAGUGCAUGUUGCAUUCUGGAUUUGUUUUGUGCCUGAGAGGACUUGAAUUCCUGAGCACUGGAGAAAAUCUAACCAUAUUUGCGAUGGCUCUGCUCAUAACAGUACAGUGGGGCAGGUGACUGCCAAGAAGGAACUGGGAGGCUCUGACUUUUCCAAAGCUCAGGAUUAUGCAAUGAAGAAGAAUAUUUUAGAAGCUAACGAGAGAUGUCAGAACAGCAUGGUCAGAAGGUAGAGAGACAAGCAUGUGGUCCAGGCCAUUGUCAGAGACAGACUGCUGGACUUGGUGGAUCAGUCAUUUGUGGAGAUCGCAGGACUCUGGAUCUUCGACUGCCGGACGCGGACUGGCACGGGCGGAGGCAGGAGGAGCACAGAGCCUUCAUGGAUGACUGGACCCAGGAACCACAGCAGCUGGAACCAGGAAAAAUGUCCCACGGUCCCACAUGUAACUGAGCUUGCUGAGUUCACAAUCAAAAGAUAUGUGGUGUAAUUUUCCAUCUGUGAUGCUUCCUGCAACAGGUACCCUGGAAAUUCUUCAUUAAUGGAGUUAACUCUUCCUUCACAAAAGUGGGCUUUCGGUUUUAAAUUAGUGAACUCUCCUCAAGAGAAUCAACACAACCAUGCAUCUGAAGAAGUGGGUUUUUUACCCAUGAAAGCUUAUGCCCAAAUAAAUCUGUUAGUCUUUAAGGUA